GACGAACGCUGGCGGCGUGCCUAAUACAUGCAAGUAGAACGCUGAAGGAGGAGCUUGCUUCUCUGGAUGAGUUGCGAACGGGUGAGUAACGCGUAGGUAACCUGCCUGGUAGCGGGGGAUAACUAUUGGAAACGAUAGCUAAUACCGCAUAACAGUAGAUAUCGCAUGAUAUCUACUUGAAAGGUGCAAUUGCAUCACUACCAGAUGGACCUGCGUUGUAUUAGCUAGUUGGUGAGGUAACGGCUCACCAAGGCGACGAUACAUAGCCGACCUGAGAGGGUGAUCGGCCACACUGGGACUGAGACACGGCCCAGACUCCUACGGUAGGCAGCAGUAGGGAAUCUUCGGCAAUGGACGGAAGUCUGACCGAGCAACGCCGCGUGAGUGAAGAAGGUUUUCGGAUCGUAAAGCUCUGUUGUAAGAGAAGAACGAGUGUGAGAGUGGAAAGUUCACACUGUGACGGUAUCUUACCAGAAAGGGACGGCUAACUACGUG
rnacentral:rRNA from 1 species